AUCGAUCAUUCGAGCGCCUGUGAAGAGCUAAGAAGGAAAUAUCAUGUAAAUUUUGARAGAUUUURGUGCUUCUAUAUAUGCUKUAUGGCGCUUCAGGGACUUCUUCAAAUACUAAAGGUGAAUCCAGGAAGCAUGAGGUAAACAUGAUGUAACUUAGACAAUGAUGRUGAUUUAAUAUGAUAGCAAUGUUUAAUAAUAUAAAUGUUGUUAACUCUAUCUCUGAUGCUAGCAUACACAUGGCCAUUAUAGUUACUUGAUCCUAUCAGCCUCUCCCAUCUCAUUCUUCAAGGGUAUAAGUCUAAUUACAUUCCUAUUAUCUGCCAAAUGGMAAAUUCAUCUUGUAAUUCAAGAAUUUACAAUUAUCAAUAAAGAGAUUCCUAUCAAUGA